GGCGGCAGGCCUAACACAUGCAAGUCGAGCGGUAGAGAGAAGCUUGCUUCUCUUGAGAGCGGCGGACGGGUGAGUAAUGCCUAGGAAUCUGCCUGGUAGUGGGGGAUAACGUUCGGAAACGGACGCUAAUACCGCAUACGUCCUACGGGAGAAAGCAGGGGACCUUCGGGCCUUGCGCUAUCAGAUGAGCCUAGGUCGGAUUAGCUAGUUGGUGAGGUAAUGGCUCACCAAGGCGACGAUCCGUAACUGGUCUGAGAGGAUGAUCAGUCACACUGGAACUGAGACACGGUCCAGACUCCUACGGGAGGCAGCAGUGGGGAAUAUUGGACAAUGGGCGAAAGCCUGAUCCAGCCAUGCCGCGUGUGUGAAGAAGGUCUUCGGAUUGUAAAGCACUUUAAGUUGGGAGGAAGGGUUGUAGAUUAAUACUCUGCAAUUUUGACGUUACCGACAGAAUAAGCACCGGCUAACUCUGUGCCAGCAGCCGCGGUAAUACAGAGGGUGCAAGCGUUAAUCGGAAUUACUGGGCGUAAAGCGCGCGUAGGUGGUUUGUUAAGUUGGAUGUGAAAUCCCCGGGCUCAACCUGGGAACUGCAUUCAAAACUGACUGACUAGAGUAUGGUAGAGGGUGGUGGAAUUUCCUGUGUAGCGGUGAAAUGCGUAGAUAUAGGAAGGAACACCAGUGGCGAAGGCGACCACCUGGACUAAUACUGACACUGAGG
rnacentral:rRNA from 1 species